rnacentral:tRNA from 1 species
GCUGAGGUGGCCCAGCUCGGUAAGGCGCGAGCCUGGAAGCUCCGGAUAGAAGCCAGUGAGCUCGUGGCGCUAUGCGCCUCGGGAGUUCAAAUCUCCCCCUCAGCG